rnacentral:rRNA from 1 species
AGCAGCCGCGGUAAUUCCAGCUCCAAUAGCGUAUAUUAAAGUUGUUGCAGUUAAAAAGCUCGUAGUUGAAUUUCGGGGUUAGUAGGUUGGUCAUGCCUCUGGUAUGUACUGGUCUCACUGAUUCCUCCUUCCUGAUGAGCCGUAAUGCCAUUAAUUUGGUGUUGCGGGGAAUUUGGACUGUUACUUUGAAAAAAUUAGAGUGUUUAAAGCAAGCUAACGCUUGAAUACAUUAGCAUGGAAUAAUGAAAUAGGACGUUCGAUCCUAUUUUGUUGGUUUCUAGGAUUGACGUAAUGAUUAAUAGGGAUAGUUGGGGGCAUUAAUAUUCAAUUGUCAGAGGUGAAAUUCUUGGAUUUAUUGAAGACUAACUACUGCGAAAGCAUUUGCCAAGGAUGUUUUCAUUAAUCAAGAACGAAAGUUAGGGGAUCGAAGACAAUCAGAUACCGCCGUAGUCUUAACCAUAAACUAUGCCGACUAGGGAUCGGAUGAUGUUAAUUUUUUAAUGACUCAUUCGGCGCCGUACG